rnacentral:rRNA from 1 species
GAUGAACGCUGGCGGCGUGCCUAAUACAUGCAAGUCGAGCGAACGGACGAGAAGCUUGCUUUUUUGAUGUUAGCGGCGGACGGGAGAGUAACACGUGGAUAAUCUACCUAUAAGUCUGGGAUAACUUCGGGAAACCGGAGCUAAUACCGGAUAAUAUUUUGAACCGCAUGGUUCAUAAGUGAAAGACGGUCUUGCUGUCACUUAUAGAUGGAUCCGCGCUGCAUUAGUUAGUUGGUAAGGUAACGGCUUUACAAGGCGACGAUGCAUAGCCGACGUGAGAGGCUGGUCGGCCACAGUGGAACGGGGACCGGGUCCCGGCUCCUGCGAGAGGCAGCAGAAGGGUAUCGUCGGCAGUAGUCGGGAGUCUGACAGAACGACGACUCGUGGGUUCUAGAGAUCUACGGGUCGGAAUGAUCUGCUGUUGGAGGAAAACAUAUGUGUAAGGCACUGUGCACAUCUUGACGGUACCUAAUCAAGAAGCCACGGCUAACUACGUG